GAUGAACGCUGGCGGCGUGCCUCAAACAUGCAAGUCGAGCGGGGCUAUGUAAUAUCGCAAGGUAGAACAUAGCCUAGCGGCGAACGGGUGAGUAACACGUGGGUAACCUGCCUGGAAGACAGGGAUAACGAUUCGAAAGGGUCGCUAAUACCUGAUAAUAUCCUUUCAUCGCAUGGUGAUAGGAAGAAAGGGGAAACCCGCUUUCAGAUGGGCCCGCGUCCCAUCAGCUAGUUGGUAAGGUAAAGGCUUACCAAGGCGACGACGGGUAGCCGGUCUGAGAGGAUGUACGGCCACACUGGGACUGAGAUACGGCCCAGACUCCUACGGGAGGCAGCAGUUGGGAAUCUUAGGCAAUGGACGAAAGUCUGACCUAGCGACGCCGCGUGAGGGGAAGAAGGGCCUUCGGGUUGUAAACCGUACUGUCAUGGGGAAGAAGUAAGUGACGGUACCCAAGAGGAAGCCCCUGCUAACUACGUGCCAGCAGCCGCGGUAAACGAGUAGUACA
rnacentral:rRNA from 1 species